rnacentral:rRNA from 1 species
AUACGGAGGGUGCAAGCGUUACUCGGAAUCACUGGGCGUAAAGCGCGCGCAGGCGGCUAUUUAAGUUGGAUGUGAAAGCCUACGGCUCAACCGUAGAACUGCAUCCAAAACUAUUUAGCUAGAGUGUGGGAGAGGAUGAUGGAAUUAGUUGUGUAGGGGUAAAAUCCGUAGAGAUAACUAGGAAUACCAAAAGCGAAGGCAAUCUUCUGGAACACUACUGACGCUGAGGCGCGAAAGCGUGGGGAGCAAACAGGAUUAGAUACCCUAGUAGUCC